GGGGGGUGAAUUCGUGUUGUUUCAAAAAUACUUUCUUUUCACAAUCUUGCAAUCAAAUUAUAAAGCUUUUUGAAAUUUCUUGAAUUGCAAGCAAUCAGAAUAUGUAUGCAGCGGAAAUUACAUAGUUGACUGCGUAAAGAAUAAAGUCGACUGGAAUGUAAAAGAUAAGGGAUAGAGAAAUGCAAACACAAAUUUUUAUACUGGUUCCGCCAACAAUGCCUACAUCCAGUGUCCUUCCAACCCAGGAAGCAAAUGCACUAUAAUGGUUGCGGUUUUUACAACAAGGAAUUUAUAGAAGACCUCCACGUCAAAAAUAUAAAUCUCCUCUCUAACCCAAAACCAAAAUAUAGCUGCACAACACAAUCAGACUUGCAGCAAGAAUCCCCUAUUCUACAAUCUGCAACACCAAUUUGAACAAUCCUCAAAGUGAACUAUCCCCCUGUAUCAAUUAUAUUAUCCUACUCUGUCCCUCAAACUGGAUCUUCAGAUAUAAAUACAACCACUGAAGCUACAUCCUUCCUACUUUGUCCAACUCUCAAGAUGGAUCUUCGGUAAGGAUUUCCCACUCUCCACCAAACUCUUACUAUGUUAAAAUACAUAAUUUCACAUCCAACAUAAUAUAAUACAUUCAACACAGAUUUCAUAUCCAUUUUACAAAAAUAAAAUCAACAGAAUAUAAUAUGUUUGAUAAGAAUUUAGUUAAAACAUAUCGAGUAGACUUCCAGGAAAGAGAGGUUCGUCACAAUGGACAACUUAAGUACCAGGUCCUUCCUAGCCAAAGUGUUCCUCAACUUGUUAUUAACAAAUUUCUUAUCCACAGAUUCAAAACAACAACAUAUAAUAUUAACACAGAAAUUCAAAUAGUUAUACAACAAGCACAUAGUUUUUUUUUUCCUUAAUAGUAAUUACACAUAAUUUCAAGAUAUGAAUAGUUAUGAAAAUAAUUUGUCAUAAUAUAAAAGCUUAGAAAAGUUAGCUCCCCUUACCUCUUUUCCAGACUUAGUUUCCUACUCAGAAGUUGUUCCCCCGAAAAUCCUCUAGAAUCUAUACUCUCUUUGCAACCAAAAUUUCUUCCUAAUUCUUUUCUUCUCUCCCUUUCUCUCUUUCUUUCUUAUUUCCUCUCCUUUUUGUGCAUAAUCCUUCUUCCCCCC
rnacentral:lncRNA from 1 species